rnacentral:tRNA from 1 species
GGUUUGUAGCUCAGUGGUAGAGCAUUUGCUUAGCAUGUAUGAGGCACUGGGUUUGAUCCUCAGCACCA